rnacentral:rRNA from 1 species
AUUGAACGCUGGCGGCAUGCUUUACACAUGCAAGUCGAACGGUAACAGGGUGCUUGCACCGCUGACGAGUGGCGAACGGGUGAGUAAUGCGUCGGAACGUGCCGAGUAGUGGGGGAUAACGCAUCGAAAGGUGUACUAAUACCGCAUACGUACUGAGGUAGAAAGUGGGGGACCUUCGGGCCUCACGCUAUUCGAGCGGCCGACGUCUGAUUAGCUAGUUGGUGAGGUAAAGGCUCACCAAGGCGACGAUCAGUAGCGGGUCUGAGAGGAUGAUCCGCCACACUGGGACUGAGACACGGCCCAGACUCCUACGGGAGGCAGCAGUGGGGAAUUUUGGACAAUGGGCGCAAGCCUGAUCCAGCCAUGCCGCGUGUCUGAAGAAGGCCUUCGGGUUGUAAAGGACUUUUGUCCGGGAGCAAAUACCCAGUGCUAAUAACGCUGGGGGCUGAGAGUACCGGAAGAAUAAGCACCGGCUAACUACGUGCCAGCAGCCGCAGUAAAAC